UACGUAGGGGGGCAAGCGUUGUCCGGAAUUAUUGGGCGUAAAGAGCGCGUAGGCGGUCCGAUAAGUCGGCUGUGAAAGUCAAGGGCUCAACCCUUGAAUGCCGAUGGAUACUGCCGGGCUCGAGUCCGGAAGAGGCGAGUGGAAUUCCUGGUGUAGCGGUGGAAUGCGCAGAUAUCAGGAGGAACACCAAUAGCGAAGGCAGCUCGCUGGGACGGUACUGACGCUAAGGCGCGAAAGCGUGGGGAGCGAACAGG
rnacentral:rRNA from 1 species